AACGCGAAGAACCUUACCUACUCUUGACAUCCAGAGAACUUUCCAGAGAUGGAUUGGUGCCUUCGGGAACUCUGAGACAGGUGCUGCAUGGCUGUCGUCAGCUCGUGUUGUGAAAUGUUGGGUUAAGUCCCGCAACGAGCGCAACCCUUAUCCUUGUUUGCCAGCGAGUAAUGUCGGGAACUCCAGGGAGACUGCCGGUGAUAAACCGGAGGAAGGUGGGGACGACGUCAAGUCAUCAUGGCCCUUACGAGUAGGGCUACACACGUGCUACAAUGGCGCAUACAGAGGGCAGCAAGCUAGCGAUAGUGAGCGAAUCCCAAAAAGUGCGUCGUAGUCCGGAUUGGAGUCUGCAACUCGACUCCAUGAAGUCGGAAUCGCUAGUAAUCGUGGAUCAGAAUGCCACGGUGAAUACGUUCCCGGGCCUUGUACACACCGCCCGUCACACCAUGGGAGUGGGCUGCAAAAGAAGUAGGUAGUUUAACCUUCGGGAGGACGCUUACCACUUUGUGGUUCAUGACUGGGGUGAAGUCGUAACAAGGUA
rnacentral:rRNA from 1 species